AUCCCAUGAUGAGGGCACCUUCUCAGUCAGUCCUUGUAUCUCUCCCAUGCAUCGUAGAGGGUUUCUAAAUCCAUCUACAAAAAAGAAGAGAUAUCAUUACGUAAUUU
rnacentral:snoRNA from 1 species